UUAAUUCAUAUGGUUAACAUUUGUUUUUUUUAAUGAUGAAACUUGAAUUAAUUAUAUAUUUAACGUUGUGGUUUUUUUUUAAUAAAAGUGACUGCGUUCGUUCUAUGUUUCAGCGUGUGUCCCACCAUCCGUUUUGGAAUCGAUGCUCCAUCCAUUAAGCCUUGGAUGACAUAUCACGUAUGGUACUUGGGCCGGAGCAGUGUCCAGGGAACCGGUAGUGUCACACCUUGCAACUCGAAGUGAUACCUCUUGCAACCUGAACGAUGCUCCAUAAGUGGCAUUUGCAAUGCCUGAAGGCCGCAUAUACCUGUCUUCCAAUUAGGCACUUUUGGCCCUGUGUGACAACGUAAUGAUGAGACAAUCGGUAACACCUCGCUGAUGACACAAUGACUUGAUUGCUUAACUGGUUCAGGCCUUUUCAC